rnacentral:lncRNA from 1 species
CCAUGUGCCAUAUGUGAGAAAUCCUUCUGUCAGAAAUCAAAUCUAAGCGUUUAUCAGAGAAUCCACACAGAGGGAAAAUCCUAUUUUGCUAAAAACAUUUUGGCAGCAGUCAGCACUCAGGGUCCAUCAGAGAAAUCACACGGGGGAAAAACCCUAUGAAUGUAAUCAAUGUGGAAAACCCUUUGGCUGGAAGUCAAGCCUUAGGUCGCAUCAGAGUAUUCACAGAGGGCAGAAAACCUAUGGAUGUAAUGUAUGUAG